AAUGACCAUCUAAAUUCCUCUUUGGUGGACAGGAGUACGUGAACUCCAGGUUGUUCAAACAGCAGUGAUUACUCCAGAGGGGUUUGUUACUCAUUAGACACUUGCUUUCCAGUAUAAGAAGGUGCAGCACAACAGUCACAUCCUCCACAUUGUGUUGAGCUUCACACAGCUGUCUCAGCCUCCAGCCCGCCUUGGUGAAGGAGAACCCAGAUCUUCUUGAGAACAUGGACUUCAACGGAACAUGGCAGGUCUACUCCCAGGAGAACUACGAGGAGUUCCUCAAGGCCAUGGAACUCCCAGAGGAGGUUAUCAAGAUGGCCAAGGACAUCAAGCCCAUUACUGAGAUCAAACAGAAAGGUAAUGACUUUAUUGUCACCUCCAAGACACCUGGACAGACUGUGACCAACACCUUUACCAUUGGGAAAGAGGCUGAUAUCACCACCAUGGACGGCAAGAAGCUCAAGUGCAUUGUCAAUCUGGAGGGUGGCAAACUGGUCUGCAACACCGGCAAAUUCUGCCACAUCCAAGAGAUCAAGGGAGGAGAGAUGGUAGAGACUUUGACCAUGGGCUCAACAACUCUCAUCAGGAGGAGCAAAAAGAUGUAAACUUGUCAGUGAAGAAACAAAUUUAUAUUUAAAUUAAAAAAACUUCCUUCAUAAGUGUUUUUUGCAUAAGUUGACUCUUUUUGCCUACUUCCAAAAUCCUUAUUUAGAAAAUGUAUAUUUUUAUGGAAUAAUCAAAAAUAAAACAAUAGAAUCAUUGGAUAAGUUAGGUUAAGUGUGUGUGUUUGUGUGUGCGUGCGUGCAUGUAUGCGUGUGUGUGUGUGUGUGCGUGCGUGUGCGUGCGUGCGUGCAUGUAUGCAUGUGCCUUCGUGGCUGUACAUCUGUGCGCAUGCGCACUCAAAGGGAACACUUAGACCACGCAGUCGCCGUCGCGUUAAAAGCAUCAGGGCUUGUGGAAAAGAAAUUGCCGUAGUAAACAAAUUCCCGGCCACAGAAUCAUAGCAACGGGCCGUUAAAAAAAUGGCGAGGUACCUGAGGCCGCCUAACACGUCUCUCUUCGUUAGAAACAUCGCCGACGACUCCAGAAUGGUAAAGAUACAGUUCUGGAGAUCCCGCACCAAAGAAAGUUGAAAGGCGGUUGUAGAGUAGAUUCAAGCACAAGAGACACCCAGGCGACAAGCAAUAGUGGAAUUUGGAAAAUAAAGAGCAAAAGCACGAAGAUACAAAGAGGAAAAAAGAAAGCGCCCAGGCUUCCAUUUGUCUACCAAAGGAAGGAAAAGCAAAGUGUUUAUUGGGCAAAGACAAGCAGGAAACCUCAAGUUCUUCUGCCAAGACAAUAAAGAUCAAGCUGAAGGUUAAAGGUAACAAGCCAAAUGUUUUCACGUUUGAAGAUGUCCGGGAUGCAGAGGACGCUCUUCACAACCUGGACCAUAAAUGGGUCUGUGGCCGUCAGAUUGAGAUCCAGUUUGCCCAGGGGGACAGAAAGACUCCAAACCAGAUGAAGACCAAAGAGCGCCAUUCCCCUCGCAGUUCCUCCCGCCACGACGAUGAUCGGGAUAGCCGGCGAAGACGGUCCAGGAGCCGCAGCCAUGAGCGCCGCAGGUCACGGAGCCCCUCCCAUGAGCGCCGUCCACGGAGGUCUGAAAGCCCAAGAGAAUCUCGGUCCUACAGUCGACACAGACGGAGCAGAAGCCAUGAAAAUGACAAGUACAGAGGUCCUCCUCGUGAGCACCACAGGACACGUCAACCAGGCUCACGUAGCCACUCUGCAUCCCGCUCCCCUCCACCCUCCAGACCUAUGCCCAAAGGUAAAAAGAGCCAGUCCAGGUCCCACACCCCGGGUGAGGACUACCACCACACUGCCAGUUCCCAGAAACAGCCUGUGGGACGAUCUCCAUCCCGCUCCUACUCUAGAUCCAUGUCCCGCUCACGUUCUCGCUCCAGGUCCUGGGCUGGACGCAAGUCUGGAGGCCACUGACUCUGCUCCCCCCAGGCCCCGUUAAUCUGUCUCUGUUCAGUUAUUACUAGAGUAUUAGGCCGUUAGCAUUUGUUAAUCUUCACAUGAUGGAGUAUGUUGCCAAAGGGGGAGACAAGCUGAUAUUUUUUUAGUGAAAAGGGUUGAUUUUUUUUUUGGACCCCUAAUGUUGGUUGCUAAAGGAGAAAACGUGUUAGUUUGGCAUUGCCAAUAAUAUUUUUGUACUUCCCCAUAUUUUCGUUGUUUAAUAUGCCCAUCAUUUUGGCUGUAUGAACUAAACAUGAAUAAACAUUGCAUUUUACUUCAGGCCCAGACUUAUCAGUAUUUACCAACUACGCUGCCCGAGCUAUUUAUACAGCAGUUAAACUUUAAACUGCAGUAGCUCUAAUUAGUAUUGGCUGAUGUAUUGAAUGCAGUUAGUUGCUGUUGUCCAGUAUGCUAUGUGACAAUAUGGUGAACUGCAGUCAUUUUUCAUGUACUUGUUCAGUGAGUGAAACAGUUGAAUAGUUCAAGUGUUCCUUAGUACUGUUCUAGUUGUACUUGGUAUGCAUCGAAAAUAAAGAUUUAAAAAACAAA